GGGGCCAUAGUUAAAAGGGGAUAACAUAGCGUUCGCAACGCUAAAUUCCGGGUUCGAUUCCCGGUGGCUCCA
rnacentral:tRNA from 1 species